AACGCUGGCGGCAGGCCUAACACAUGCAAGUCGAGCGGUAGCACAGGAGAGCUUGCUCUCUGGGUGACGAGCGGCGGACGGGUGAGUAAUGUCUGGGAAACUGCCUGAUGGAGGGGGAUAACUACUGGAAACGGUAGCUAAUACCGCAUAACGUCUACGGACCAAAGUGGGGGACCUUCGGGCCUCACGCCAUCAGAUGUGCCCAGAUGGGAUUAGCUAGUAGGUGGGGUAAUGGCUCACCUAGGCGACGAUCCCUAGCUGGUCUGAGAGGAUGACCAGCCACACUGGAACUGAGACACGGUCCAGACUCCUACGGGAGGCAGCAGUGGGGAAUAUUGCACAAUGGGCGCAAGCCUGAUGCAGCCAUGCCGCGUGUGUGAAGAAGGCCUUAGGGUUGUAAAGCACUUUCAGCGAGGAGGAAGGGUUCAGUGUUAAUAGCACUGUG
rnacentral:rRNA from 1 species